rnacentral:lncRNA from 1 species
UUGUAUUUCUUUAGGCUUCUUUACAAAAAAAAUUCACUAAGUAGAGUGAAGAAAGAAGAUGUCGUCAAUCGUAUUUGACUUGAUUCUCUAUCACAAUGGAGACAAUGCAUUUGCAUCUUUCAAGAACGAAGGUGAUGAUGACGACGAUGUAGUCUAUGAUUACGCUCCGGCUGCAUGAUUCAAUCAUCUAUAGUUAUAACAUCUUCAUCAUUAGGGGAGAGAGAGAAGCUUUCUAGCUAGCU